rnacentral:rRNA from 1 species
AACGAACGCUGGCGGCGUGCCUAACACAUGCAAGUCGAGCGUGAAAGUCCUUCGGGAUGAGUAAAGUGGCGCACGGGUGAGUAACACGUAGGUGACCUUCCGUUUAGAGGGGAAUAACCAGAAGAAAUGUUGGCUAAUGCCGCAUACGAAGAGCAAAUCUAAGCGUAGCUCUUGAAAGAAUGCCUCCGUAUAUGCAUUCACUAAACGAUGCGCCCGCGGAACAUUAGCUAGUUGGUGGGGUAAUGGCCUACCAAGGCUACGAUGUUUAUCCGGUCUGAGAGGAUGAUCGGACACACUGGAACUGAGACACGGUCCAGACUCCUACGGGAGGCAGCAGUGGGGAAUAUUGCGCAAUGGGGGAAACCCUGACGCAGCAACGCCGCGUGAGUGAGGAAGGACUUCGGUCUGUAAAGCUCUGUUAAUGUGGAAAAAUGGUUAGCGGUCUAAUAGGCCGUUGAUUUGAUGGUACACAUAGAGGAAGCACCGGCUAACUUCGUGCCAGCCGCCGCUGUAACAC